rnacentral:rRNA from 1 species
AACGAACGCUGGCGGCAUGCCUAACACAUGCAAGUCGAACGAAGCCUUCGGGCUUAGUGGCGCACGGGUGCGUAACACGUGGGAAUCUGCCCUUCGGUUCGGAAUAACAGUUAGAAAUGACUGCUAAUACCGGAUGAUGACGAAAGUCCAAAGAUUUAUCGCCGAAGGAUGAGCCCGCGUAGGAUUAGGUAGUUGGUAGGGUAAUGGCCUACCAAGCCGACGAUCCUUAGCUGGUCUGAGAGGAUGAUCAGCCACACUGGGACUGAGACACGGCCCAGACUCCUACGGGAGGCAGCAGUGGGGAAUAUUGGACAAUGGGCGAAAGCCUGAUCCAGCAAUGCCGCGUGAGUGAUGAAGGCCUUAGGGUUGUAAAGCUCUUUUACCAGGGAUGAUAAUGACAGUACCUGGAGAAUAAGCUCCGGCUAACUCCGUGCCAGCAGCCGACGGUAAAAGUACUCUAU